CCAAUCAGCAGCAGGUGAGGGGAAACAGCGCUCAGGUAGACAAGCAGGAAAAUAAGAGCUUUGACCGAAAAAAUAAACACCAAUCCCAGGAAAACACAACCUGACGUGAAUGUGACAGAUCGUCACACUAUGCUUGUGUUGUUUUCGGCUGUACGAAUCGUUCAAAUCGCGACAAGAAUAAACAUUUCUUCAGAGUUAAUCAAAAAGGGCGGAAGAGUGCAAGAUUUUACGGAACAACGACGAGAAAAUCUUGCAGUUCACACUCCAGUCCAAGGUACCAGAGUCGAAUAAUGCAGGAGUUUACAGUGAUCACUUUGUUAAAGCCUCAAGAUGACCACUACAAGACCUCGUCUCAUUCCAGACUGCAGUGGUUUCUCCCAAGGUCAACGCGGCUCGGGGGAUGCAGCAGGAGAUCAAACAGCGGACCUGGGGGAUGACAGAUGCAGAUGGAGGAAGGAGAGGAGGGGGGGAAAAAGGCAAUAAAACAUUGCUUCAAAGAUGGUAACUGUGCACUGGGAGGCAAAUUAUUGUUAACAGUAAUCUGCAGAAUGGCGCCUUGCGUUGGGGAUCGAUUGACUAUUAAGGGUCCUUUGAAGGAAGACGAGGUAACACCAGGCUAUUGUUCAUCAUGCUGGCCGGGACUUGCAGAAAAUAACAGCUGCAUGUUUCUGCCUCUACUCGGUGCGCCUACCAACCUUAAAUACAUCUGACUUGUGCAUGCAAUCAUCGUUUCUAAUAGACAAGCAAUUUGGACUCCAUGCUGAUGCCUUAUAGUCACACGUUGCCAUGGAGACAGCCAAGACAAUUUAGGCAUUCAACUAUUUACAUUUUUUUAUUUUUUUUUAGGUCAUCUUUUUUAAAUGAAUAGUAUUCAAAUAUUUAUAUCACAAUGAAAGUAUUUCCUGCAAAACACCACAAUUUUGACACAUGAA